rnacentral:rRNA from 1 species
GAUGAACGCUGGCGGCGUGCCUAAUACAUGCCAGUCGAGCGAACAGACGAGGAGCUUGCUCCUCUGACGUUAGCGGCGGACGGGUGAGUAACACGUGGAUAACCUACCUAUAAGACUGGGAUAACUUCGGGAAACCGGAGCUAAUACCGGAUAAUAUAUUUAACCGCAUGGUUCAAUAGUGAAAGACGGUUUUGCUGUCACUUAUAGAUGGAUCCGCGCCGCAUUAGCUAGUUGGUAAGGUAACGGCUUACCAAGGCGACGAUGCGUAGCCGACCUGAGAGGGUGAUCGGCCACACUGGAACUGAGACACGGUCCAGACUCCUACGGGAGGCAGCAGUAGGGAAUCUUCCGCAAUGGGCGAAAGCCUGACGGAGCAACGCCGCGUGAGUGAUGAAGGUCUUCGGAUCGUAAAACUCUGUUAUUAGGGAAGAACAAAUGUGUAAGUAACUAUGCACGUCUUGACGGUACCUAAUCAGAAAGCCACGGCUAACUACGUG